UCAGCUCGGUGUUUCCACUGUGCCUGGCAGCAAAAUCCAUCCCUGUUCCUCCAGAAACUCGUUAAAACCAAGUAACUCUGAGCUGCAGCAAAGUGAUUUCUGUUGGACUACAUCGCCAAUUUAGCAGAUGUGGGAAAGCCGAGGCUCUGGCACGGAGCUUUCAGCUGCCAUGAGGAGCCUUGCAAAGACCUUGCCCUGGUUCUGGAGCCAUUCCAGUGACAUUUUAAAUUAUGGGUGAGUUUUACAUAAUUCUUUUGAUACGUGUUGUUAUGACAUGUAAAAUUUUAUCUUUGCAGUUGCAGUGAAUUAUGUAAGAUCUUUGUUUUGCAUUUGUCAGGAGAACUUGAACCACUGCACAUUUAACAAAUGCACUUUCAAAAGGCCUGGUCCUGCCCACAGCUGUGAUAAUACUG